UAGACGUAUAUCUUGAUCUUUUGUCAAGAAUAUAUUUGAACACUUGACAUCGCGGUGUAGAAUGUGAUUUGUAUGCAUCUUGGUGUCAUUGUUCUGCAACUAUGAAAGUUCCAUUAAAAGCCUUUCUCAUUGGCACCAAACUGUGAGGACUAUUAUCAACCACUUCGAAAGCAGAUUUUAUUCUUGGUUCCACCAUGUGACAGUAAAGAAGAUUAUAUUUAUUGAGAGCAUUCACCAUAUAAAGUCCCAAUUCUUUAGGACUAGAGUCUCCACAUUCUGAAUGUUCUGCAAAAGGUGAUAAUCUUAUUCCAACUUUAUCUGCCCCUAUUUCAUUCACAGCAGCUUCAACAACUUCCAAAACAAAUUGACAGCGGUUCUCAAUGGAUCCACCACAUUCAUCUGUUCUAUCAUUCACUUCAUCCUUCAUGAAUUGUUCAAUUAAGUAGCCAUGAGCCCCAAUUGUGCAGCCAAGUGCAGGUCUGCAAGUCAUAUGGUGCCUGAUGAAUUUCAGUUUAGUUCUUCAGCUUGUUAACCCCAAUCUUUCUUUUGCAGGGUGAUUUUCGGUUAUCCAGAAGAUAUUGUUGCAGGCCUGACGAAUGCAGUUUCGGUUUCGGUGCCGUUGCAUUCAUUUGUGUGGGGUUUGCAUUUGGCCUUACAAGGAACAACGGAUUGAACAGCCUCCUUACUCAGCCUCUCAACACCUAGCUUUCUUAGACUUUGCUCCAGGACUGCGGCACGGGUGUCUGUAUAGAUUCGAAAGAGCUGUUGUUGAUGGCCUGCUUGAACCAUUUGUUGUUCCUUCAACUGCUUGGCAACAUCCCUAGCAGAUGAACCAGAGACUUCAAUCCAAGUUUUGGAGAACAAGGCACAGGCUGACAGCAUAAACACCAGGUAGAACAGUGCAUGGAAAGGAUUGGCUGCCAUAUCAGCUAAGCUAGAGGGUGCAGUUAUAUAGUAUGCAAUGCCACCAACAGGAAUAGAGUGACCGCCUCCAUAUUCAGAUUCCUUCCAUUUUCCCAACAGAUCCACAAUGAAGUUUCCGGCAUACUUUCUGUGUAGCAGCUGGGAAAGGAAGUAGAGAUUGGAAACAAGGGCAGACUGAAGAAUAAUGGGCAUGUUGGAGGUGUAAAACAGUUUGAUUGGAUAUGAGCCCUGCUGUCCACGAGCAUUCUUCGACCUUACAGGCAAAACCACGCGGAAACCUUGGAAGUAUAUCACAAUUAGAAAGAUCAAAACAGGAGCCAGCAGAUUUGUGACAAUAUUUAGGCAUGGGAAGUUGCAUCUUGUUAUUUAUAUUUUCCUACUUGUAUUCAAACUUUAGGACAUGAUAUAUCUCUUGUAUACUUUUAUUUACAUGUCUUGAUUUUGGGAGAAAAUGACUGCAUUUCUUCUUUA